GGGCACAUGGUGUAGUUGGUUAUCACGCUCGCUUAGCACUAUUCAUGUACACGUGAUGUACGUGUCACGUGAUUAGGAAAUUGCGAGAGGUGUUGGGUUCAAUUCCCAAUGUGUCCA